UACAGAGGGGGCGAGCGUUGCUCGGAAUUACUGGGCGUAAAGCGCACGUAGGCGGAUUGUUAAGUCGGGGGUGAAAUCCUGGAGCUCAACUCCAGAACUGCCUUUUAUACUGAAGAUCUUGAGUUCGGGAGAGGUGAGUGGAACUGCGAGUGUAGAGGUGAAAUUCGUAGAUAUUCGCAAGAACACCAGUGGCGAAGGCGGCUCACUGGCCCGAUACUGACGCUGAGGCACGAAAGCGUGGGGAGCAAACAGG
rnacentral:rRNA from 1 species